CUCAAAAUGGCUACUUUCCACAGUCACACAGGCUUUUGAAAUGUAUAUAGACCCAAUUUCUCUGAAACUUUUCUGACACCUCCACUGUCUUCUUUUCCCCCAAAUUUUGGCAAAAUAGGCUGGAAAUCCAAGUUGGCUCUACCAAAAAUGUAAUAUUUGUGGGAUUGAAGAAGUACAGGGGAUAAGGAAGGUUUUGUAACAUGGAAUGGGGGGAUUUGAAGGGAGAGAGGGAAUAUGGCUGCUGGUGAGGUUAAAGAAGAGAGAUACCCCCUGCUGAGAGGCUAUCUUUGAAAAUUGGUUCUUGAGAAAUGGGUCACCUAUGAUAGCCUGAGGAAAUUUCUUCUCUAUUGAUGGAUGUUGAAGAUACCGCAGAGCAGGGGAUACUAGGAGGGGAAGUGGAAGGUCCCACCUAUUUACUUCCAGUCUUGAGCUUGGUGGUUGUAAGCACUGCUGUUCUUCUACAAAGUGAUCCUAUAGAGAUGUCCUCAAUUCUCUCCAAAAUCAAAGAAUGGCAAAUAAUAUUAAUAAAAAUAAUAUCAACAAAAGUUCAAGGACAUCUCUGCUUUGACAUCUUCUGGAAAUACCAAGUCUUCCUGGCUUGGAAAUCAGUACUAUAUUGGUGCCAUAAAAAGAAUUUGUCCCAUUGUCCUUUGAUUCUCAAGACCAGGCUUGAAGAAAAUAUGAUCCCCAAAUACAGAACUCAAGAGAAUCACCAAAAGGUAAUUAAGAAAGGGGAAAAGAGGAAAAGCAACUGCUUGACUACAGGGGUUAAGGGGACAUGUCUGAGGAGAGACUCUAAAUGAACACUAAUGCAAAUACCAACAACGUGGAAAUGGGUUUGAAUCAAGAACACAUGUGAAACCCAGUGGAAUUGCGAGUCGGCUAUGGGAGAGGUGAGGGGGGGAGGGAGGAAAAGAAAAGGAUCUUUGUCUCCAAUGAAUAAUGUUUUGAAAUGACCAAAUAAAAUAUUGUUUAAAAAAAAGAAAGGGGGAAAA
rnacentral:lncRNA from 1 species